UACGAAGGGGGCGAGCGUUGUUCGGAAUUACUGGGCGUAAAGGGCGCGUAGGCGGCCGAUCAAGUCAGAUGUGAAAGUCCUGGGCUUAACCUGGGGACUGCAUUUGAUACUGAUUGGCUUGAAUGCAGGAGAGGAUAGCGGAAUUCCCAGUGUAGAGGUGAAAUUCGUAGAUAUUGGGAAGAACACCGGUGGCGAAGGCGGCUCUCUGGACCGACACUGACGCUGAGGCGCGAAAGCGUGGGGAGCAAACAGG
rnacentral:rRNA from 1 species